rnacentral:rRNA from 1 species
UACGGGGGGGGGCAAGCGUUGUUCGGAAUUACUGGGCGUAAAGAGCUCGUAGGUGGUUUGUCGCGUUGUUCGUGAAAUCUCACGGCUUAACUGUGAGCGUGCGGGCGAUACGGGCAGACUUGAGUACUGCAGGGGAGACUGGAAUUCCUGGUGUAGCGGUGGAAUGCGCAGAUAUCAGGAGGAACACCGGUGGCGAAGGCGGGUCUCUGGGCAGUAACUGACGCUGAGGAGCGAAAGCGUGGGGAGCGAACAGG